UAUGCUUUGCACAGAAGCCAAGAC
rnacentral:piRNA from 1 species